AUUGAACGCUGGCGGCAUGCUUUACACAUGCAAGUCGGACGGCAGCACAGAGAAGCUUGCUUCUUGGGUGGCGAGUGGCGAACGGGUGAGUAACAUAUCGGAACGUACCGAGCAGUGGGGGAUAACUAAUCGAAAGAUUAGCUAAUACCGCAUAUAUUCUGAGGAAGAAAGCAGGGGACCAUUUGGCCUUGCGCUGUUUGAGCGGCCGAUAUCUGAUUAGCUAGUUGGUGGGGUAAAGGCCUACCAAGGCGACGAUCAGUAGCGGGUCUGAGAGGAUGAUCCGCCACACUGGGACUGAGACACGGCCCAGACUCCUACGGGAGGCAGCAGUGGGGAAUUUUGGACAAUGGGCGCAAGCCUGAUCCAGCCAUGCCGCGUGUCUGAAGAAAGGGCUUCGGGUUGUAAAGGACUUUUGUCAGGGAAGAAAAGGAUAGGGUUAAUACCCCUGUCUGAUGACGUACCUGAAGAAU
rnacentral:rRNA from 1 species